rnacentral:rRNA from 1 species
CCGCAUCUGUGCAUGCAGCAUAUCAAUAAGCGGAGGAAAAGAAACUAACAAGGAUUCCCCUAGUAACGGCGAGUGAAGCGGGAAGAGCUCAAAUUUGAAAUCUUAAAGGGUUUCCCUUUACGAAUUGUAGUUUAAAGAAGUGUUUUCUGUUGAGGUUUUGGUAAAAGUUCUUUGGAAUAGGACAUCAUAGAGGGUGAGAAGUCCCGUAUUUGACCUUUACUUUCAACUUUGUGAUACACUUUCAAAGAGUCGGAUUGUUUGGGAAUGCAGUCCAAAAUGGGUGGUAAAUUUCAUCUAAAGCUAAAUAUUGGCGAGAGACCGAUAGCGAACAAGUACCGUGAGGGAAAGAUGAAAAGAACUUUGAAAAGAGAGUUAAACAGUACGUGAAAUUGUCAAAAGGGAAGCGUUUGACACCAGUGUUGUUUUUCUGAAAAUCAAUUAAAGAACUGUUUAUGCUAAGCUGUUUAGACUUUAUCAGCUAUCUGUUUAGUUUUGAGCUUUUCUUUAAUGCACUCUUCAGUUAACAAGUCAACAUCAAUUUCUUUUGCUGUAAAAAGGCUUGAGGAAGGUGGCUUGAGAUUCGUCUUAAGUGUUUAUAGCCUCUUGCCUAUGCAGUCGGAGAGAUUGAGGUCUGCAGCGUAGAUCCUUCGGGGCUAAAUGCAUUUGUGCUAAGUUAUAGCAUUUUAUAGACAACUUGUUGACUAUGAUUUGUCUUGUAGCUUACUCGCUUAUGUUAUUUUACCUACGCUUAGGAUGUUGAGUCGUAGAGCACGCAG